CUCGUAGGCGGUUCGUCGCGUCCGGUGUGAAAGUCCAUCGCUUAACGGUGGAUCCGCGCCGAGUACGGGCGGGCUUGAGUGCGGUAGGGGAGACUGGAAUUCCCGGUGUAACGGUGGAAUGUGUAGAUAUCGGGAAGAACACCAAUGGCGAAGGCAGGUCUCUGGGCCGUUACUGACGCUGAGGAGCGAAAGCGUAGGGAGCGAACA
rnacentral:rRNA from 1 species